GUGCUCACUUCGGCAGCAUACACACUAAAAUUGUAACGACACAGAAAAGAUUAGCGUGACUCCUAUGCAAACAUGUUAAGUAAAUUUGGGAAAUAUUCCAUGUUUUU
ensembl:snRNA U6 U6 spliceosomal RNA